UGGGGAAUCUUGCACAAUGGGGGAAACCCUGAUGCAGCGACGCCGCGUGAGCGAUGAAGCCCUUCGGGGUGUAAAGCUCUUUCGGCAGGGACGAUAAUGACGGUACCUGAAGAAGAAGCUGCGGCUAACUACGUGCCAGCAGCCGCGGUAAUACGUAGGCAGCGAGCGUUGUUCGGAGUUACUGGGCGUAAAGCGUGCGUAGGCGGUGGUCCAAGUCUGGUGUGAAAUCUCCCGGCUUAACUGGGAGGGUGCGCCGGAAACCGGGCCGCUGGAGUACGGGAGAGGCAAGCGGAAUUCCAGGUGUAGCGGUGAAAUGCGUAGAUAUCUGGAGGAACACCCGUGGUGCAGACGGCUUGCUGGACCGUGACUGACGCUGAGGCACGAAAGCGUGGGUAGCAAAC
rnacentral:rRNA from 1 species